GUGUCAGCAGCCGCGGUAAUACAGAGGAGGCAAGCGUUGUUCGGAAUCACUGGGCUUAAAGCGCGUGUAGGCGGCCAUGCAAGUACUUUGUGAAAUCCCUCGGCUCAACCGGGGAAUUGCUUGGUAUACUGCAGGGCUUGAGGCGGGUAGGGGUGCUUGGAACUCUAGGUGGAGCGGUGAAAUGCGUAGAUAUCUAGAGGAACGCCUGUGGCGAAAGCGGAGCACUGGGCCCGUCCUGACGCUAAGACGCGAAAGCGUGGGUAGCAAACGGGAUUAGAAACCCCCGUAGUCC
rnacentral:rRNA from 1 species